rnacentral:rRNA from 1 species
UGUAAGCGUAUACCAAAGUUGUUGCAGUUAAAACGCUCGUAGUCGGAAUUUGGCAGUUCCGGAUGUGUGCACGUCGUGUGCGCACUUCGCGGGGAUUGCUUUUGUGGUCUUGCGUAGGAUGAGGCACUUUUAUUAGUGAACGUCCUCACGCAACCACUCUUUACUGUGAGAAAAUCAGAGUGCUCAAAGCAGGCAUUUGCCGUGAAUGUAUUAGCAUGGAAUAAUAGAAUAGGACUUGGUUCUAUUUUGUUGGUUUGUUGGGACUGAGUAAUGAUUAAGAGGGACAGUUGGGGGCAUUUGUAUUUCGGUGCUAGAGGUGAAAUUCUUAGAUUACCGAAAGACAAACUGCUGCGAAAGCGUCUGCCAAGGAUGUUUUCAUUGA